GUAUUUGUUUGAAUCUUUCUUUAUCUUUGUGUUUAGUUGAUUAGUAAUUUCUCCAUUUUCAGUUUGAGUUCUAGCUAUGAAAAACUUCAAAGAUUCCACUCUAAUGUUUGAGUCAAAGAGGAGUACAAGAGGCUCUGCGGUUAAAAUGGGUGAAGAGAGCAGAUCUAAGCAUCUACAUGAUCCUAUUCGCAUGCAAAAUCUUCCCCAAGUUUGAAAUAGCAACAUCAUCAAGAAAAGAAAAAUUAUAAGUACUUUGUCUACCAGCAGCGAAGUCGAAAAACUUGAUGAAGAUCAAAUUGAGAAACAAAGUUACCAUAUAUGAAGAAAAUGUACUGAGAGCAUCCAUAAAAAAUCGGUUUGACUUUUGCUUAUUUUUUGUCAAAUUCUCAAUUUUAAAUGAGAAGAAUGUAGAUUUUGAAUUAGCUAUUUGGAUAGGUUAGCUAUUAGGAAGAAUGUAGGUGCUGCCUUCCUUAUGUACAUAGAUAUAUUAGCUAAUAGAUAUGUCUUUAGUUGAACUCUUAACUCAUAAGCUUUUUGGUGACUACAAGUUUAGAACGUAUCCAGGUUCCAUUUCUUUGACAUG